rnacentral:lncRNA from 1 species
GGGCCGUCCACUGCCUGCUCUUUGGGUGAUAGAGAUCAGUGAAGGGCAGCUUCAGAAGACCUUUCUUAUCACAGCCCCCAAUGAUGAUGAUAACUUCUGCCAGCUCCAUGAACCUUCUGGGCCUCGAUCUCACAGAGCUGACCUCAUUCCCAAGGAUGUAGUACUUGCGGGCUUCGUGCAGCAGAGGGAUGCACUCCUUUGAGUCCUGGAUGAGCCCAUCCA